CUUCAACUGGAUGUAAUGUAGUUCCUCUGGUUAUCUCUUACUCAGGUUCCUUCUCUAGAGCUGUGGCUACCUUGGACUGAACAGUGAUUGGAUUGAUAGAUGUGUGAUGCCAAUUCAUAGGUUCAGUAUAGAAGCUCUCCUAUUGCCACUGGAUUGUUAGGGUGUCUUCUCCAAAGAAUGCAAGAGUAUUACCCAUCGAUCUUCUCAUCUUAUUCAACCACUCUUACAAAUUGACUAGAGUUCUUUCUUUAUAAAUAUCUUGUAUUUUGACAUGGUUCCAUCACUAAUUGUAUCUCAGUCAUUUCACUUGAAUCACUACAGAGGAGAUAUACAACAAACCUAGUGAACAUGCCCAAUCCUGCUUGAUCUAGCCAUAAAUCUGAAUGUAUUCUUUGCUUAUAACUGGAAGUGAAGCUACUCCACAAGUGUCCUGACUGGUUUGUUUCUAGCUCUUCUUUCUUACCCUAUACGGCUGCACUUGGGGUCUUAUGCCCGUGGUGAUGGUGCAUUCAAGAAAGAAGAUGUGAAAAGAGGCCUGUGAUCAAACCCAGUAUGUCCUUGGCACCCUCUGGGAGGAUCCAGAUCAUAAAGUAGAUGAGGAAAGACUCCAAAACCUUUGAGACAAGUUAAAACAUCUCCUGAAAGAAUGAGCAAAAAGCUCAGAACUCUGAAGAAGCAAGACUUCCUCAAAUCAGCAUCAAUAAGGUCUGGAAAUGAUCCCAGAGUUCCAUCCUACCAAUAUGAGGCUUGUGAUUUUCUGCAUUUUUUAGGGUAUGCAUCUUACAUAAGUGAACACAAAUAG
rnacentral:lncRNA from 12 species